AUUGAACGCUGGCGGAAUGCUUUACACAUGCAAGUCGAACGGUAGAGGGGGCAACCCCUCGAGAGUGGCGAACGGGUGAGUAAUAUAUCGGAACGUGCCCAGUUGUGGGGGAUAACGUAGCGAAAGUUACGCUAAUACCGCAUACGAUCUAAGGAUGAAAGAGGGGGAUCGCAAGACCUCGCGCGAUUGGAGCGGCCGAUAUCAGAUUAGGUAGUUGGUGGGGAAAAGGCUCACCAAGCCAACGAUCUGUAGCUGGUCUGCGAGGACGACCAGCCACACUGGAACUGUGACAUGGUCCAGACUCCUACGGGAGGCGGCAGUGGGGAAUUUUGGAGAAUGGGCGCAAGUCUGAUCCAGCCAUUCCGCGUGCAGGAUGAAGGCCCUCGGGUUGUAAACUGCUUUUGUACGGAACGAAAAGGUCUCUCUUAAUACGGGGGACUCAUGACGGUACCGUAAGAAUAAGCACCGGCUAACUACGUGCCAGCCGCCGCCGUAACAC
rnacentral:rRNA from 1 species